rnacentral:rRNA from 1 species
UACGUAGGGUGCAAGCGUUGUCCGGAAUUAUUGGGCGUAAAGAGCUCGUAGGCGGUCUGUCGCGUCUGCUGUGAAAACUCAGGGCUUAACCCUGAGCUUGCAGUGGGUACGGGCAGACUAGAGUGCGGUAGGGGAGACUGGAAUUCCUGGUGUAGCGGUGAAAUGCGCAGAUAUCAGGAGGAACACCGGUGGCGAAGGCGGGUCUCUGGGCCGUAACUGACGCUGGAGGAGCGAAAGCCAUGGGGAGCGAACAGGA